rnacentral:rRNA from 1 species
AGUGAACGCUGGCGGUAGGCCUAACACAUGCAAGUCGAACGGCAGCACAGUAAGAGCUUGCUCUUACGGGUGGCGAGUGGCGGACGGGUGAGGAAUACAUCGGAAUCUACUUUUUCGUGGGGGAUAACGUAGGGAAACUUACGCUAAUACCGCAUACGACCUACGGGUGAAAGCAGGGGAUCUUCGGACCUUGCGCGAUUGAAUGAGCCGAUGUCGGAUUAGCUAGUUGGCGGGGUAAAGGCCCACCAAGGCGACGAUCCGUAGCUGGUCUGAGAGGAUUAUCAGCCACACUGGAACUGAGACACGGUCCAGACUCCUACGGGAGGCAGCAGUGGGGAAUAUUGGACAAUGGGCGCAAGCCUGAUUCAGCCAUACCGCGUGGGUGAAGAAGGCCUUCGGGUUGUAAAGCCCUUUUGUUGGGAAAGAAAAGCAGCAGGUUAAUACCCCGCUGUUCUGACGGUACCCAAAGAAUAAGCACCGGCUAACUUCGUG